rnacentral:lncRNA from 1 species
UGUAGAUCGGUUUUAUGAGCUCCAAGUUGUGCGGUUGUUUCUCACUGCGUUGUAGGUUGUUCCGGUUAAUAUUGAUUGCUCUUCUUCUACCUUAAAUUUUGGCUGAUGUUGGAGACAACAUCUUCUUGGGUUGGAUCAGAGUUUAGGUGUCGUUAAUAUUUUUUCCUCGUCGUUGGCUUGACUCAUAGUCUCUGCUCGUCUUGGUUUUAAAAUUUUGUUUUUUUCGUGAUCUAACUUCUUUCCUCUCUUUCAUAGCUUGAGUACGACUCUACGGUUUGCUAAUUUCAUUUGGUUUUCCCUUCCCACGCUGUUCUCUCAUCUCGUUGCAGUUUUCAUUGCUGCUCGCGUCUCUAGUAGCUCUCACUUUUGCCUUGUUUGCCACUCUAGGUUUGGAUAGUGUUUUCCUCUGUGUAUGCUCAGUGGGCUUGGAAGGUUGUUUUUGGUAUCAAGCUUGAGCUCUGGUUUUUUGGUGGUUGGCUUCGAUUCUCACUCCCUCAGGUUGUUUCUUUUCUUUCCAUGUUUCCCUUGGUAUAGGUGUACGGAGCUAGUCUCAUGGAGCUUUGGUCCUUUUUAUCCAGAGUAUGUGGUUCUUCACUGGCAUGGGCGCCUUGCCUGUGCAUAUUUAGUUUGUGAGACGUUUCUUACCUAUUAGCUGGUGGCUGAGCUUUUAGGGCUUUAGGCAUGUGCCUUCCUACUUCGUGCUGACUUUGGCGUUCCGGUUAUUAUGUAUCUUCUGGGUCGCUUUCUUGGUUCUUUGCAUUGGUACUCUAUCACACACAUUUGUAUUCGGAGGAUUGCUUUGUCUCGGGUUUUAUCUUUUUGCUUUCUUCUGACCUCUGAUUAUUUUAGCUAAAACACUCUAUGGUAAGAUGAGAUAAUUUAGUCUUCAUUCUCAAUCUCUUUUCAGCUUCGGACCUUUAUUGAGUUAGUAUUAUUAUGGAAUUUUGCGUUUUUUCUGUGGUUGUGGAGGUUUUAGGUUUAGACCAUAUGUUGUGCUCUAGUUUCUUCUUCUUAGUUUAGUUAUUUUAUGAUUUUUAGUGAAAUAUAUAUUUAAUUUGUAAAUAAAAAAUAGAAAAUAGUAAAAUAUAAUAAUAGUGAAAGUUAAUAUUAUUUUUAGCUGUUCAUAAAUUAAAUAAUUAAAAUUAUUAAUAUUAUUUUACUUAUUUCUUUAUUCAUCUUGAAUUUUACUCAUCAAUAAAAUAAUUAUCAAAUUUCAUAUAAUGAUUCUUUGUGCGAGAACGAUUAGAUAACUAAAUUUCUCAGAAAUUCUAUUAGAUACGAAAGUUUCGCAUUCUUUUGUUAUUUGUUUAUUUAUUCUAAUUUUCUGAGUUUUUGCAUUAUUCAAGUUCCAUCGGUAAUUUUUAAUAUAACAAACAUGUAAAUUUUGAUGAAAAAAUAAAAGAGGACACGUGGCAGCAAACCCCCCUGCCACUUGUCAGAAGAAAGGAAAAUGUCUACUUUAUAUAUACUGCUUCUUCUUGGGUUGGGUAAGAGUUUAGGUGUCGUUAAUGUUUUUUCCUCGUCGUUGGCUUGACGUCAUAGUCCUUGCUCGUCUUGGUUUUAAAAUUUUGUUUUUUUCCGUGAUCUAACUUCUUUCCUCUCUUUCAUAACUUGAGUACGGCUCUACGGUUUGCUAAUUUCAUUUGGUUUUCCCUUCUCUCGCUGUUCUCUCAUCUCGUUGCAGUUUUGAUUGUUGCUCGCAUCUCUAGUAGCUCUCAUUUCUGCCAUGUUUGCCACUCUAGGUUUGGAUAGUGUUUUCCUCUGUGUAU